rnacentral:rRNA from 1 species
UUGGUGAAGUGGAUGAUCCUAUGCUGCCGAGAAAAGCCUCUAGUGAGCGUUGUGGCGGCCCGUACCCUAAACCGACUCAGGUGGUCAGGUAGAGAAUACCAAGGCGAUCGGGUGAACUGUGGUUAAGGAACUCGGCAAAUUGCCCCCGUAACUUCGGGAGAAGGGGGACCUCUGCUGGUGAUGGGCUUUACGUUCUGAGCUGGUGGGGGUCGCAGUGGCCAGGGGGAAGCGACUGUUUACUAAAAACACAGGUCCGUGCGAAGUCGUAAGACGAUGUAUACGGACUGACGCCUGCCCGGUGCCGGAACGUUAAGGGGACCGCUUAGCCAGCUUCGGUUGGCGAAGGUGAGAACUUAAGCGCCGGUAAACGGCGGUGGUAACUAUAACCAUCCUAAGGUAGCGAAAUUCCUUGUCGGGUAAGUUCCGACCUGCACGAAUGGCGUAACGACUUCCCCGCUGUCUCAACCACAGACCCGGCGAAAUUGCACUACGAGUAAAGAUGCUCGUUUCGCGCAGCAGGACGGAAAGACCCCGGGACCUUCACUACAGCUUGACAUUGGCGUUUGGAACGUCUUGUGUAGGAUAGGUGGGAGACUAGGAAGCUGUCACGCUAGUGAUGGUGGAGUCAUUGGUGAAAUACCACUCUGGUCGUUUUGAACGUCUAACUCUGGUCCGUGAUCCGGAUCGGGGACAGUGUCUGGUGGGUAGUUUAACUGGGGCGGUUGCCUCCUAAAGAGUAACGGAGGCGCCCAAAGGUUCCCUCAGCCUGGUUGGCAAUCAGGUGUUGAGUGUAAGUGCACAAGGGAGCUUGACUGUGAGACUGACAGGUCGAGCAGGAGCGAAAGCUGGGACUAGUGAUCCGGCAUCGGCGUGUGGAAGCGGUGUCGCUCAACGGCUAAAAGGUACCCCGGGGAUAACAGGCUGAUCUUCCCCAAGAGUCCAUAUCGACGGGAUGGUUUGGCACCUCGAUGUCGGCUCGUCGCAUCCUGGGGCUGGAGUAGGUCCCAAGGGUUGGGCUGUUCGCCCAUUAAAGCGGUACGCGAGCUGGGUUUAGAACGUCGCGAGACAGUUCGGUCCCUAUCCGCUGCGCGCGCAGGAGACUUGAAGGGGGCUGUCCCUAGUACGAGAGGACCGGGACGGACGAACCUCUGGUGUGCCAGUUGUACCGCCAGGUGCACGGCUGGUUGGCUACGUUCGGAAGGGAUAACCGCUGAAAGCAUCUAAGCGGGAAGCUCGCCUUGAGAUGAGGUCUCCCACCCCGUGAGGGGGUAAGGCUCCCGGUAGAUCACCGGGUUGAUAGGCCGGAGGUGGAAGCACGGUAACGUGUGGAGCUGACCGGUACUAAUAGGCCGAGGACUUGACC